rnacentral:lncRNA from 1 species
GGGCUCCUGAUUCUUAGAAGGUAGAGAAGAGCAUAUAGAGGGAAUUGUGAGUAAGCCAGAUUAAUGCACCAGAAAAAGUAGAAACUGCACCAGAAAAAGUAGAAACUGCACCAGAAAAAGUAGAAACUGUACCAAGAACAGGAAGGACGGAUUGGCACCAGUGAAUUCAAACAAUAACCAGGUCUCAAGCAGUAGCCACCUCCAGUCUGAUACAAAGGAUUACUCCCUCCCCAGUGCCAGCUGGAGCCCCAUCAUGGUGAGGCUCUACAAUGAGUUCAUGGAGAAGACUGUGGAUGGGUCAUGGACAAGACUUCCAGGUUGUUGGUGCUCUGUGCAAUUCCUUAAAGAAGCAGACCUUACUAAGAUUGCUAAAGCUGUCCCUGCCAUCUUCUUACAAAUGAAGUGACGCAGAUGCAAGGUGCUGCAAGGCCCACCUCCUCCUGCUCUGACAGGCAGACAGGAAACCAAAGCCCC